UACGAAGGGGGCUAGCGUUGUUCGGAAUUACUGGGCGUAAAGCGUGCGCAGGCGGCCAUUCAAGUCAGGGGUGAAAGCCCAGAGCUCAACUCUGGAACUGCCCUUGAAACUGUAUGGCUUGAGGAUGAGAGAGGUGAGUGGAAUUCCCAGUGUAGAGGUGAAAUUCGUAGAUAUCAGGAGGAACACCUGCGGUGUAGACGGCUUACUGGACGGUAACUGACGCUGAGACACGAAAGCGUGGGUAGCAAACAGG
rnacentral:rRNA from 1 species